AACGCGAAGAACCUUACCUGGUCUUGACAUCCACGGAAUUCGGCAGAGAUGCCUUAGUGCCUUCGGGAACCGUGAGACAGGUGCUGCAUGGCUGUCGUCAGCUCGUGUUGUGAAAUGUUGGGUUAAGUCCCGCAACGAGCGCAACCCUUAUCCUUUGUUGCCAGCGGUCCGGCCGGGAACUCAAAGGAGACUGCCAGUGAUAAACUGGAGGAAGGUGGGGAUGACGUCAAGUCAUCAUGGCCCUUACGACCAGGGCUACACACGUGCUACAAUGGCGCAUACAAAGAGAAGCGACCUCGCGAGAGCAAGCGGACCUCAUAAAGUGCGUCGUAGUCCGGAUUGGAGUCUGCAACUCGACUCCAUGAAGUCGGAAUCGCUAGUAAUCG
rnacentral:rRNA from 1 species